AGAUUGAACGCUGGCGGCAGGCCUAACACAUGCAAGUCGAGCGGCAGCACGGGUACUUGUACCUGGUGGCGAGCGGCGGACGGGUGAGUAAUGCCUAGGAAUCUGCCUGGUAGUGGGGGAUAACGCUCGGAAACGGACGCUAAUACCGCAUACGUCCUACGGGAGAAAGCAGGGGACCUUCGGGCCUUGCGCUAUCAGAUGAGCCUAGGUCGGAUUAGCUAGUUGGUGAGUAUGGCUCACCGAAGCGACGAUCCGUAACUGGUCUGGAGAGGAUGAUCAGUCACACGUGGAACUGACGACGUACCGGUCCAGACCUACCGACGGGACGGCAGCGAGGUGGGAAUUAGUAGGACAAGUGGGACGAAGCCGUAGACUCCGAGACCACGCCGCGUGGU
rnacentral:rRNA from 1 species